AGAGUUUGAUCCUGGCUCAGCUGGCGGCGUGCCUAACACAUGCAAGUCGAGCGAUGAAGUUUCCUUCGGGAAACGGAUUAGUGGCGGACGGGUGAGUAACACGUGGGUAACCUGCCUUAUAGUGGGGGAUAGCCUUUCGAAAGGAAGAUUAAUACCGCAUAAGAUUGUAGUAUCGCAUGAUAUAGCAAUUAAAGGAGCAAUUCGCUAUAAGAUGGACCCGCGUCGCAUUAGCUAGUUGGUGAGGUAAUGGCUCACCAAGGCGACGAUGCGUAGCCGACCUGAGAGGGUGAUCGGCCACAUUGGGACUGAGACACGGCCCAGACUCCUACGGGAGGCAGCAGUGGGGAAUAUUGCACAAUGGGCGAAAGCCUGAUGCAGCAACGCCGCGUGAGUGAUGACGGCCUUCGGGUUGUAAAACUCUGUCUUCAGGGACGAUAAUGACGGUACCUGAGG
rnacentral:rRNA from 1 species